rnacentral:rRNA from 1 species
GGGUUGUGAGGUUAAGCGACUAAGCGUACACGGUGGAUGCCCUGGCAGUCAGAGGCGAUGAAGGACGUGCUAAUCUGCGAUAAGCGUCGGUAAGGUGAUAUGAACCGUUAUAACCGGCGAUUUCCGAAUGGGGAAACCCAGUGUGUUUCGACACACUAUCAUUAACUGAAUCCAUAGGUUAAUGAGGCGAACCGGGGGAACUGAAACAUCUAAGUACCCCGAGGAAAAGAAAUCAACCGAGAUUCCCCCAGUAGCGGCGAGCGAACGGGGAGCAGCCCAGAGCCUGAAUCAGUGUGUGUGUUAGUGGAAGCGUCUGGAAAGGCGCGCGAUACAGGGUGACAGCCCCGUACACAAAAAUGCACAUAUUGUGAGCUCGAUGAGUAGGGCGGGACACGUGGUAUCCUGUCUGAAUAUGGGGGGACCAUCCUCCAAGGCUAAAUACUCCUGACUGACCGAUAGUGAACCAGUACCGUGAGGGAAAGGCGAAAAGAACCCCGGCGAGGGGAGUGAAAAAGAACCUGAAACCGUGUACGUACAAGCAGUGGGAGCCUCUUUUAUGGGGUGACUGCGUACCUUUUGUAUAAUGGGUCAGCGACUUAUAUUCUGUAGCAAGGUUAACCGAAUAGGGGAGCCGAAGGGAAACCGAGUCUUAACUGGGCGUUAAGUUGCAGGGUAUAGACCCGAAACCCGGUGAUCUAGCCAUGGGCAGGUUGAAGGUUGGGUAACACUAACUGGAGGACCGAACCGACUAAUGUUGAAAAAUUAGCGGAUGACUUGUGGCUGGGGGUGAAAGGCCAAUCAAACCGGGAGAUAGCUGGUUCUCCCCGAAAGCUAUUUAGGUAGCGCCUCGUGAAUUCAUCUCCGGGGGUAGAGCACUGUUUCGGCAAGGGGGUCAUCCCGACUUACCAACCCGAUGCAAACUGCGAAUACCGGAGAAUGUUAUCACGGGAGACACACGGCGGGUGCUAACGUCCGUCGUGAAGAGGGAAACAACCCAGACCGCCAGCUAAGGUCCCAAAGUCAUGGUUAAGUGGGAAACGAUGUGGGAAGGCCCAGACAGCCAGGAUGUUGGCUUAGAAGCAGCCAUCAUUUAAAGAAAGCGUAAUAGCUCACUGGUCGAGUCGGCCUGCGCGGAAGAUGUAACGGGGCUAAACCAUGCACCGAAGCUGCGGCAGCGACGCUGAUGCGUUGUUGGGUAGGGGAGCGUUCUGUAAGCCUGUGAAGGUGUGCUGUGAGGCAUGCUGGAGGUAUCAGAAGUGCGAAUGCUGACAUAAGUAACGAUAAAGCGGGUGAAAAGCCCGCUCGCCGGAAGACCAAGGGUUCCUGUCCAACGUUAAUCGGGGCAGGGUGAGUCGACCCCUAAGGCGAGGCCGAAAGGCGUAGUCGAUGGGAAACAGGUUAAUAUUCCUGUACUUGGUGUUACUGCGAAGGGGGGACGGAGAAGGCUAUGUUGGCCGGGCGACGGUUGUCCCGGUUUAAGCGUGUAGGCUGGUUUUCCAGGCAAAUCCGGAAAAUCAAGGCUGAGGCGUGAUGACGAGGCACUACGGUGCUGAAGCAACAAAUGCCCUGCUUCCAGGAAAAGCCUCUAAGCAUCAGGUAACAUCAAAUCGUACCCCAAACCGACACAGGUGGUCAGGUAGAGAAUACCAAGGCGCUUGAGAGAACUCGGGUGAAGGAACUAGGCAAAAUGGUGCCGUAACUUCGGGAGAAGGCACGCUGAUACGUAGGUGAAGUCCCUCGCGGAUGGAGCUGAAAUCAGUCGAAGAUACCAGCUGGCUGCAACUGUUUAUUAAAAACACAGCACUGUGCAAACACGAAAGUGGACGUAUACGGUGUGACGCCUGCCCGGUGCCGGAAGGUUAAUUGAUGGGGUCAGCGCAAGCGAAGCUCUUGAUCGAAGCCCCGGUAAACGGCGGCCGUAACUAUAACGGUCCUAAGGUAGCGAAAUUCCUUGUCGGGUAAGUUCCGACCUGCACGAAUGGCGUAAUGAUGGCCAGGCUGUCUCCACCCGAGACUCAGUGAAAUUGAACUCGCUGUGAAGAUGCAGUGUACCCGCGGCAAGACGGAAAGACCCCGUGAACCUUUACUAUAGCUUGACACUGAACAUUGAGCCUUGAUGUGUAGGAUAGGUGGGAGGCUUGGAAGUGUGGACGCCAGUCUGCAUGGAGCCGACCUUGAAAUACCACCCUUUAAUGUUUGAUGUUCUAACGUUGACCCGUAAUCCGGGUUGCGGACAGUGUCUGGUGGGUAGUUUGACUGGGGCGGUCUCCUCCUAAAGAGUAACGGAGGAGCACGAAGGUUGGCUAAUCCUGGUCGGACAUCAGGAGGUUAGUGCAAUGGCAUAAGCCAGCUUGACUGCGAGCGUGACGGCGCGAGCAGGUGCGAAAGCAGGUCAUAGUGAUCCGGUGGUUCUGAAUGGAAGGGCCAUCGCUCAACGGAUAAAAGGUACUCCGGGGAUAACAGGCUGAUACCGCCCAAGAGUUCAUAUCGACGGCGGUGUUUGGCACCUCGAUGUCGGCUCAUCACAUCCUGGGGCUGAAGUAGGUCCCAAGGGUAUGGCUGUUCGCCAUUUAAAGUGGUACGCGAGCUGGGUUUAGAACGUCGUGAGACAGUUCGGUCCCUAUCUGCCGUGGGCGCUGGAGAACUGAGGGGGGCUGCUCCUAGUACGAGAGGACCGGAGUGGACGCAUCACUGGUGUUCGGGUUGUCAUGCCAAUGGCACUGCCCGGUAGCUAAAUGCGGAAGAGAUAAGUGCUGAAAGCAUCUAAGCACGAAACUUGCCCCGAGAUGAGUUCUCCCUGACCCUUUAAGGGUCCUGAAGGAACGUUGAAGACGACGACGUUGAUAGGCCGGGUGUGUAAGCGCAGCGAUGCGUUGAGCUAACCGGUACUAAUGAACCGUGAGGCUUAACCUUA